CCUACGGGAGGCAGCAGUGGGGAAUAUUGGACAAUGGGCGAAAGCCUGAUCCAGCAAUGCCGCGUGAGUGAUGAAGGCCUUAGGGUUGUAAAGCUCUUUUACCCGGGAUGAUAAUGACAGUACCGGGAGAAUAAGCUCCGGCUAACUCCGUGCCAGCAGCCGCGGUAAUACGGAGGGAGCUAGCGUUAUUCGGAAUUACUGGGCGUAAAGCGCACGUAGGCGGCUUUGUAAGUAAGAGGUGAAAGCCUGGUGCUCAACACCAGAACUGCCUUUUAGACUGCAUCGCUUGAAUCCAGGAGAGGUGAGUGGAAUUCCGAGUGUAGAGGUGAAAUUCGUAGAUAUUCGGAAGAACACCAGUGGCGAAGGCGGCUCACUGGACUGGUAUUGACGCUGAGGUGCGAAAGCGGGGGGAGCAAACAGGAUUAGAUACCCUGGUAGUCCACGCCGUAAACGAUGAUAACUAGCUGUCGGGGUUCUUAGAACUUCGGUGGCGCAGCUAACGCAUUAAGUUAUCCGCCUGGGGAGUACGGCCGCAAGGUUAAAACUCAAAAUGAAUUGACGGCUAGACUGCCAGAGACACAGGGAGUAGG
rnacentral:rRNA from 1 species